AUGAGUAAGAACAAGGAGGAGAAAGAGAAGAAAAUGAGAGCUAUUGAUAAGAAGGAUGAUGAGGAGAAGGAGAGGGAGGAUCAGAAGAAAAGAAAGGAAAAUGGGUGGAAGGCGAUGCCACAUAAGGAAAGAAAGGAGGAGAAUGAGAAUGAGAAAGAAGAGCAGGGGCAGGAAGGGAAGGAAGGAGAAAUUAAGAAAGAUAAAGAGGAGGAACAAAAGGAGAUAAAUGAGCAAAAGGGAAGGAGGGAGAAUGGUAAAGAGGAAGAGGAGUCGAAGGAAAGGGAUGAUGAAGACCAAAAUGACAAACAAAAUUGCCCUCACUUCUUUAGGGCACUCAUCUCCUAUUCAUUCAUGGAACACAUGGUAGGGUUUCUUGAUUCAUAA
rnacentral:rRNA from 1 species